AUGCCCAAGGAAGUUAGCAGUCAAAACAAUGCUGAUCAGGUGGAUAUACCAGGAGAUUUAACAGCAGAGCUAAGGAAAUUAAAGCACGCUUACGAGACCCUGAGCUCAAACAGGGAAAAGGAAGCUUCUGCACAACUUGCGGUAAAGGAUUUUCUGUGGAACCAGUUGAGGACAAUGGACAGGGAUCACAUGGCGCUUCUUCGGAUAAAAGAAGUGGAGGCGGCACAAGCUACUGAAGCAGCACAAAAGCGUCAGCAGAGCAUAGAGGAGCUGCAAGUGGCGGCUCGGAAGAAGGAUGAUGAGAUUGCCAGGUUGAGAGCACAAGUAGUUGUUGCAGAAAACAAGGUUACUAGUCAAAAGCGCAGGCGACUGGGAUGUACGUUCAAGAUCUUUGUGAAGAUCCCGACCCUCGAUGGCAAGACCAUCGCGCUCGAGGUUUCUGAUUCAGAUACGAUCUUCAGUGUGAAGGCUAAGAUUCAAGACAAAGAGGGCAUCCCUGCUGGCCAGCAGAGACUCAUGUACAUAAAUACACUGCUGGUGGGCAGCUGCGCUCUCAAGGACCAGAACAUCCAGAUCCAGGAGGAGGACAUUCUUGACCUUGUUAUCCGAGGUAUGCAUAUCUUCGUGAAGGUGCGUGCUGGCAAGAGCGCCGUCGAGACCGUCACUCUUGAGGUUGAGAGCUCGGACACUCUUCAGAGUGUCAAGGCGAAGAUUUUCGACCAGACGUGUAUGCCCCCAGGCGGGCAUCGCCUCUUCUUGUCUGGCAAGCUGCUGGAGGACAGCUGCACCUUGGCUGACUACAACAUCGAAAAUGAUUCCAUCCUUGAUUCUGACGUUCGCUCCCCCUGGCCGAGCGAAAUGUUGCGCUUGUCGGUCAAGACACCGACAAGCAUGUCUUCGAGCAUGUGUGCAUGCGCUCGGAGACGGUCCACGAUCUCAAGGCAAAGGUUUAUGUUGAGUUGGGCAUUCCCCCGAAUGAGCAGCGCCUCUUGUCGGGUGGGGUCGACGGAGUCCCGCUUGAGGAUGGGGAACCCCUGUUAG
rnacentral:rRNA from 1 species